UUUUCACAACGGAACAGUUGGUGCUUGUAGCGCCUUCUCGAAUAUUGUAGUGAACAAUGAUUACUAACGCAAAGCAUGGUGGCUUGUUAGACUGCCUAGGCGAGCACUCUACUUAAUUAGAUGAUCCGCGUAGCAUCUUACUGUACCUUGAAAAAAAACAGCUGGUGUAUUGCCGUCGUUAGCCUGUCUUUCUGGUAAAGAGAAACAGGCUCAAUGGAACUGGCGAUUUGUCGACAGGAUCCGUAAAGUCAGGUUGAAAUACUGCCCAUGGUACGAGGGAGCGGGUACUACAAUUCAAUUUUCGAAAUAUGGAGCUUGGAAGAAUUGUGAAAUCUCCAGGUGAAGAUGGACUUAGGAGUAAGGGGGGAUUAAUAUGCUUCCCUGAACAUGAAUCUAACUUGUGUACAAACCGCCCGUCGGUUUCGCUGUGAAGGCGAUAG
rnacentral:rRNA from 1 species